GAUGAAGCGAGGAGGUGAAUAUGAGGAAGUCGACCGCACGUCAGUUUUUCCAACAGUACUUUGCCGCGACAAAGGGAGUGUCCUGGCUGGCCCGCCAGUGUGAAGCACAACGGUUCAAAAUACUGGAAGAGUUGAUGCAGUGGGACGUUACAACGCCGACUUCUGAACGCUGACUCGCCUCGAUCAUGUGUGACUGAGUAUUGGUGCUAAUCACCACGCCAGCAGUUAUUAUCUGCUGGCUUUUUU
rnacentral:sRNA from 1 species